AGUGAGCGCUGGCGGUAGGCCUAACACAUGCAAGUCGAACGGCAGCACAGGAGAGCUUGCUCUCUGAGUGGCGAGUGGCGGACGGGUGAGGAAUACAUCGGAAUCUACUCUGUCGUGGGGGAUAACGUAGGGAAACUUACGCUAAUACCGCAUACGACCUACGGGUGAAAGCAGGGGACCUUCGGGCCUUGCGCGAUUGAAUGAGCCGAUGUCGGAUUAGUUAGUUGGCGGGGUAAAGGCCCACCAAGGCGAGGAUCCGUAGCUGGUCUGAGAGGAUGAUCAGCAACACUGGAACUGAGAAACGGUCCAGACUCCUACGGGAGGCAGAAGUGGGGAAUAUUGGACAAUGGGCGCAAGCCUGAUCCAGCCAUACCGCGUGGGUGAAGAAGGCCUUCGGGUUGUAAAGCCCUUUUGUUGGGAAAGAAAUCCAGCUGGCUAAUACCCGGUUGGGAUGACGGUACCCAAAGGAUAAGCACCGGCUAACUUCGUGCCAGCAGCCGCCGUAA
rnacentral:rRNA from 1 species